rnacentral:rRNA from 1 species
ACUAAGCGUAUACGGUGGAUGCCUUGGCAGUUAGAGGCGAUGAAGGACGUGAUAGUCUGCGAUAAGCCCCGGGGAGUUGACAAUAAGCGUUGAUCCGAGGAUUUCCGAAUGGGGCAACCCAGCCACAGCAAUGUGGCUAUCUGCAACUGAAUACAUAGGUUGUAGAAGCGAACGCGGAGAACUGAAACAUCUAAGUACCCGUAGGAACAGAAAUCAACCGAGAUUCCCUUAGUAGCGGCGAGCGAACGGGGAUUAGCCCUUAAGCUUUUUAGACUUUAGUGGAACGCACUGGAAAGUGCGGCCGUAGUGGGUGAUAGCCCCGUACACGAAAGGGUCUUUAAAGUGAAAUCGAGUAGGUCGGAGCACGAGAAACUUUGACUGAACAUGGGGGGACCAUCCUCCAAGGCUAAAUACUCCUAACUGACCGAUAGUGAACCAGUACCGUGAGGGAAAGGCGAAAAGAACCCCGGAGAGGGGAGUGAAAUAGAACCUGAAACCGUAUACGUACAAGCAGUGGGAGCACCUUCGUGGUGUGACUGCGUACCUUUUGUAUAAUGGGUCAGCGACUUAUUGUUAGUAGCAAGGUUAACCGAAUAGGGGAGCCGUAGGGAAACCGAGUCUUAAUAGGGCGACUAGUUGCUGGCAAUAGACCCGAAACCAGGCGAUCUAGCCAUGGGCAGGGUGAAGGUUGAGUAACAUCAACUGGAGGCCCGAACCCACUUACGUUGAAAAGUGAGGGGAUGACCUGUGGCUAGGAGUGAAAGGCUAAUCAAGCCUGGAGAUAGCUGGUUCUCCGCGAAAGCUAUUUAGGUAGCGCCUCACGUGAUUACCCUCGGGGGUAGAGCACUGUUUCGGCUAGGGGGCCAUCCCGGCUUACCAACCCGAUGCAAACUCCGAAUACCGAGGAGUAUAAUGUGGGAGACACACGGCGGGUGCUAACGUCCGUCGUGGAAAGGGAAACAACCCAGACCGCCAGCUAAGGUCCCUAAAUCCAAUUAAGUGGGAAACGAUGUGGGAAGGCUUAGACAGCUAGGAGGUUGGCUUAGAAGCAGCCAUCCUUUAAAGAAAGCGUAACAGCUCACUAGUCGAGUCGGCCUGCGCGGAAGAUGUAACGGGGCUAAAUUGGAUACCGAAGCUGCGGGUGUAUAUUUUAUAUGCGCGGUAGCGGAGCGUUCUGUAAGCUGUUGAAGGUGUACCGGGAGGUAUGCUGGAGGUAUCAGAAGUGCGAAUGCUGACAUGAGUAACGAUAAUGGGGGUGAAAAACCUCCACGCCGAAAGACCAAGGUUUCCUGCGCAACGCUAAUCGGCGCAGGGUUAGUCGGCCCCUAAGGCGAGGGCGAAAGCCGUAGUCGAUGGGAAACAGGUUAAUAUUCCUGUACCGAUAUUUACUGCGAUGGGAUGACGGAGAAGGCUAAAUCUACCGGGCGAUGGUUGUCCCGGGGAAAGGUUGUAGGCUGGAAUCUUAGGAAAAUCCGGGAUUCCUUAAGGCUGAGAACUGAGACCAUGCUCUACGGAGCAGAAGUGAUUGAUGCCAUGCUUCCAGGAAAUAAUCUCUAAGCUUCAGGUAAGUAUCGACCGUACUCCAAACCGACACAGGUGGUUGGGAUGAGUAUUCUAAGGCGCUUGAGAGAACUCGGGUGAAGGAACUAGGCAAAAUGGUACCGUAACUUCGGGAGAAGGUACACUCUUGGUGGUGAAGGGACUUGCUCCCUAAGCUAUUGAGAGUCACAGUGAAAAGGUGGCUGCGACUGUUUAUUAAAAACACAGCACUCUGCAAACACGUAAGUGGACGUAUAGGGUGUGACGCCUGCCCGGUGCCGGAAGGUUAAUUGAUGGGGUUAGCAUUAGCGAAGCUCUUGAUCGAAGCCCCGGUAAACGGCGGCCGUAACUAUAACGGUCCUAAGGUAGCGAAAUUCCUUGUCGGGUAAGUUCCGACCUGCACGAAUGGCGUAACGAUGGCCACACUGUCUCCACCCGAGACUCAGUGAAAUUGAAAUUGCGGUGAAGAUGCCGUAUACCCGCGGCUAGACGGAAAGACCCCGUGAACCUUUACUACAGCUUUGCACUGAACUUUGAACCUAUCUGUGUAGGAUAGGUGGGAGGCUUUGAAGCGGGAACGCUAGUUCUCGUGGAGCCACCCUUGAAAUACCACCCUGGUAUGUUUGAGGUUCUAACCCAGGUCCGUUAUCCGGAUCGGGAACAGUGUAUGGUGGGUAGUUUGACUGGGGCGGUCUCCUCCCAAAGAGUAACGGAGGAGCACGAAGGUGUGCUAAGCAUGGUCGGACAUCAUGCGGUUAGUGUAAAGGCAUAAGCGCGCUUGACUGCGAGACUGACAAGUCGAGCAGGUACGAAAGUAGGUCUUAGUGAUCCGGUGGUUCUGUAUGGAAGGGCCAUCGCUCAACGGAUAAAAGGUACUCCGGGGAUAACAGGCUGAUACCGCCCAAGAGUUCACAUCGACGGCGGUGUUUGGCACCUCGAUGUCGGCUCAUCACAUCCUGGGGCUGAAGCCGGUCCCAAGGGUAUGGCUGUUCGCCAUUUAAAGUGGUACGCGAGCUGGGUUUAGAACGUCGUGAGACAGUUCGGUCCCUAUCUGCCGUGGGCGUUGGAAAUUUGAGGAGAGCUGCUUCUAGUACGAGAGGACCGAAGUGGACGUUCCCCUGGUGUUCCGGUUGUCACGCCAGUGGCAUUGCCGGGUAGCUACGAACGGACGGGAUAACCGCUGAAAGCAUCUAAGCGGGAAGCCUCCUCCAAGAUUAGAUUUCCCUGGGAACUUGAUUCCCCUAAAGGGCCGUUGAAGACUACAACGUUGAUAGGCUGGGUGUGGAAGCUCUGUGAAGAGUGAAGCUAACCAGUACUAAUUGCCCGUGAGGCUUGACU